GCCUAGCUCAGUUGGUUAGAACAUGGUACUCCUAAUGCCAAGGUUUCAGGUUUGAUCCCUAUAUGGGACA